rnacentral:rRNA from 1 species
UCCAGACUCCUACGGGAGGCAGCAGUGAGGAAUAUUGGUCAAUGGUCCGAAGGCUGAACCAGCCAAGUCGCGUGAGGGACGACUGCCCUACGCGUUGUAAACCUCUUUUAUAAGGGAAGAAUAAAUGCUACGUGUAGCAUGAUGCCUGUACCUUAUGAAUAAGCAUCGGCUAACUCCGUGCCAGCAGCCGCGGUAAUACGGAGGACGCGACAGUUAUCCGGAUUUAUUGGGUUUAAAGGGUGCGUAGGCGGAAUAUCAAGUCAGCGGUAAAAAUUCGGGGCUCAACCCCGUCGUGCCGUUGAAACUGAUGUUCUUGAGUGGGCGAGAAGUAUGCGGAAUGCGUGGUGUAGCGGUGAAAUGCAUAGAUAUCACGCAGAACUCCGAGUGCGAAGGCAGCAUACCGGCGCCCAACUGACGCUGAAGCACGAAAGCGUGGGUAUCGAACAGGAUUAGAUACCCGGGUAA